rnacentral:rRNA from 1 species
AGAGUUUGAUCCUGGCUCAGAACGAACGCUGGCGGCAGGCUUAACACAUGCAAGUCGAACGCAUCGCAAGAUGAGUGGCAGACGGGUGAGUAACACGUGGGAAUCUACCCAACCCUACGGAAUAGCUCCGGGAAACUGGAAUUAAUACCGUAUACGCCCUUCGGGGGAAAGAUUUAUCGGGGAUGGAUGAGCCCGCGUUGGAUUAGCUAGUUGGUGGGGUAAAGGCCUACCAAGGCGACGAUCCAUAGCUGGUCUGAGAGGAUGAUCAGCCACAUUGGGACUGAGACACGGCCCAAACUCCUACGGGAGGCAGCAGUGGGGAAUAUUGGACAAUGGGCGCAAGCCUGAUCCAGCCAUGCCGCGUGAGUGAUGAAGGUCUUAGGAUUGUAAAGCUCUUUCACCGGAGAAGAUAAUGACGGUAUCCGGAGAAGAAGCCCCGGCUAACUUCGUGCCAGCAGCCGCGGUAAUACGAAGGGGGCUAGCGUUGUUCGGAAUUACUGGGCGUAAAGCGCACGUAGGCGGAUAUUUAAGUCAGGGGUGAAAUCCCAGAGCUCAACUCUGGAACUGCCUUUGAUACUGGGUAUCUUGAGUAUGGAAG